GAUGAACGCUAGCGGCAGGCCUAAUACAUGCAAGUCGAACGGUGUCUUCGGACAUAGUGGCGCACGGGUGCGUAACACGUAUGCAACCUACCUUACAUUGGGGGAUAGCCUUCUGAAAGGGAGAUUAAUACCGCAUAAGACAGUAGCUGGGCAUCCAGCAGCUGUUAAAGAUUUAUCGAUGUAAGCUGGGCAUGCGUCCAAUUAGCUAGUUGGUGAGGUAACGGCUCACCAAGGCAAUGAUUGGUAGGGGAACUGAGAGGUCAAUCCCCCACACUGGCACUGAGCUACGGGCCAGACUCCUACGGGAGGCAGCAGUAGGGAAUAUUGGGCAAUGGACGCAAGUCUGACCCAGCCAUGCCGCGUGCAGGAUGAAGGCGUUAUGCGUUGUAAACUGCUUUUAUACAGGAAGAAACGACUCUUGCGAGAGGCAUUGACGGUACUGUAUGAAUAAGCACCGGCUAACUCCGUGCCAGCCGCCGCGGUAAUAC
rnacentral:rRNA from 1 species